AGAGUUUGAUCAUGGCUCAGGAUGAACGCUAGCGGCAGGCCUAACACAUGCAAGUCGAGGGGUAACAUUGGUGCUUGCACCAGAUGACGACCGGCGCACGGGUGCGUAACGCGUAUACAAUCUACCUUUUGCUAAGGGAUAGCCCAGAGAAAUUUGGAUUAAUACCUUAUAGUAUGCAGACUUCUCAUGGAGAUUGCAUUAAAGAUUACGGCAAAAGAUGAGUAUGCGUCCUAUUAGUUUGUUGGUGUGGUAACGGCACACCAAGGCUACGAUAGGUAGGGGCCCUGAGAGGGGGAUCCCCCACACUGGUACUGAGACACGGACCAGACUCCUACGGGAGGCAGCAGUGAGGAAUAUUGGACAAUGGAGGCAACUCUGAUCCAGCCAUGCCGCGUGCAGGAAGACUGCCCUAUGGGUUGUAAACUGCUUUUAUACAGGAAG
rnacentral:rRNA from 1 species